UACGUAGGGUGCAAGCGUUGUCCGGAAUUAUUGGGCGUAAAGAGCUCGUAGGCGGUCUGCCACGUCCGCUGUGAAAACCUAGGGCUUAACCCUGGGCUUGCAGUAGAUACGGGCAGACUAGAGGUAGGUAGGGGAGAAUGGAAUUCCCGGUGUAGCGGUGAAAUGCGCAGAUAUCGGGAGGAACACCGGUGGCGAAGGCGGUUCUCUGGGCCUUACCUGACGCUGAGGAGCGAAAGCGUGGGGAGCAAACAGG
rnacentral:rRNA from 1 species